rnacentral:rRNA from 1 species
UUCGGGUCCGGGGAAAGCGGCGAACGGGUGAGUAACACGUGGGUAAUCUGCCCUCGGUACUGGGAUAGCCCGGGGAAACCCGGAUUAAUACCGGAUAGCCUUUCGAGCUCUCGGGCUCGUUAGAAAAGGUGGCUUCGGCUUCCGACUGAGGAUGAGCCCGCGGCGGAUUAGCUUGUUGGUGAGGUAAUGGCUCACCAAGGCUCCGAUCCGUAGCUGGUCUGAGAGGACGAUCAGCCACACUGGGACUGAGACACGGCCCAGACUCCUACGGGAGGCAGCAGUAGGGAAUCUUGCGCAAUGGGCGAAAGCCUGACGCAGCGACGCCGCGUGCGGGAAGAAGGCCUUCGGGUUGUAAACCGCUUUCAGGAGGGACGAAGCCACUCGGGUUAAUACCCCAGAGGGUGACGGUACCUCCAGAAGAAGCCCCGGCUAACUACGUGCCAGCAGCCGCGGUAAUACGUAGGGGGCAAGCGUUGUCCGGAUUUAUUGGGCGUAAAGAGCGUGUAGGCGGCCAGAUAGGUCAGCUGUGAAAACUCGAGGCUCAACCUCGAGAUGUCGGCUGAAACCAUCUGGCUAGAGUCCGGAAGAGGAGAAUGGAAUUCCCGGUGUAGCGGUGAAAUGCGCAGAUAUCGGGAAGAACACCCGUGGCGAAGGCGGUUCUCUGGGACGGUACUGACGCUGAGACGCGAAAGCGUGGGGAGCGAACAGGAUUAGAUACCCUGGUAGUCCACGCCGUAAAC